CAUUAGAUGACUGAAACGUAAGUAAUGGUCUCUUAAACCAAACUAUAGUGAAAUAACAAACACUUCUAAUGA
rnacentral:tRNA from 1 species